UAAUUUGUUUUUGUUAUAUUUCCAUUUAGUAGUAUCAGAUUAUCACUCGAAUACUCAAAAUCACUUGUACCUACAAGCUCGACUAUAUCAUAACCCCUCCACUUCUUAGAAAAGGUUAAUUUUUGU
rfam:Populus trichocarpa scaffold_6_contig_66, whole genome shotgun sequence.